rnacentral:rRNA from 1 species
AUUGGGCGUAAAGCGCGUGUAGGCGGUUGGUUAAGUCUGAUGUGAAAGCCCUGGGCUCAACCCGGGAAGUGCAUUGGAAACUGGCUAACUUGAGUACGGGAGAGGGUAGUGGAAUUUCGAGUGUAGGGGUGAAAUCCGUAGAUAUUCGAAGGAACACCGGUGGCGAAGGCGGCUACCUGGACCGAUACUGACGCUGAGACGCGAAAGCGUGGGGAGCAAACAGGAUUAGAUACCCCAGUA